rnacentral:rRNA from 1 species
UACGGGGGGGGCAAGCGUUGUUCGGAAUUACUGGGCGUAAAGGGCUCGUAGGCGGCCAACUAAGUCAGACGUGAAAUCCCUCGGCUCAACCGGGGAACUGCAUCUGAUACUGGAUGGCUUGAGAUUGGGAGAGGGAUGCGGAAUUCCAGGUGUAGCGGUGAAAUGCGUAGAUAUCAGGAAGAACACCCGUGGCGAAGGCGGCUCUCUGGGACGGUACUGACGCUGAGACGCGAAAGCGUGGGGAGCGAACAGG